GACGGAGGGUGCAAGCGUUGUUCGGAAUUACUGGGCGUAAAGGGCGCGUAGGCGGUUUGCUAAGUUCGGUGUGAAAGCCCCUGGCUCAACUGGGGAACGGCGCUGGAAACUGGCAGACUAGAGUACCGGAGAGGAGGGUGGAAGUUCCUGGUGUAGCGGUGAAAUGCGUAGAUAUCAGGAGGAACACCGGUGGCGAAGGCGGCCCUCUGGGACGGAUACUGACGCUGAGGCGCGAAAGCGUGGGGAUCAAACAGG
rnacentral:rRNA from 1 species